GCUGGGUGUCCCUUCCUGGCUAGGGCAGGGGACUCCUCUAUUGGAUUGUCAGGCCCCCAGCAACCCUGAAAACGGAUAAAAGGGGACUCGGGCUGCAGGUUUCCAGGGCAAAGACGAACUGCUGGAAAGGGCUCUUCCACUGUGCUCCCAGACGCCAGGGGACCACACAAAGGGCUGGCUUCAGGCUCACAAUGGUGGGGCGGUUAGUCACUGUGCCAGGGCAGCAGACAGGCAGACAGAGCCCCCUGUGUCUGUGCCUGUCAGGCUGGGCCCUUAUAGCUCCUGAUCCCCUGCCUGUGUGCCUUUGUCUGCACCCCACCCAGCUCCCCAAGUUAACCCUCUACUACCCAAUGCCUACCUGGCAGCCUUUGGUAGUGCACUCUUGCCAAGCUUGGGUUGCCAUCAAGUUACCUUGGCCAAGUCACACUCCUUCUAGAAGCUGGGUUCAGACCUGUAAGGUUUCGUUGGCCUCUCUGGGGGAAAACUAUUGGCCGGGUCUCUGUCACUGUGACCUCACUGCCCGGAUUUUCAUGUUAGAGAACCUAGCGUGCCAGGCUCCCAACUUGUAAGAUCCCACCCGAAUUGGAAAGAAGGUGUCCUCCAAGGAUGGGGGAGGAAGGCAGUCAGAGCUGUGAAGGCUGUAGAAGUCACCCUGGAGUGGGUGUAUGUUUCAAAGGGAGCGGACUGAGGUGAAUAUUUUAAUCCUGUGUGUAGAUAGAUGGAUAAGAUAAAAUAAAUUAAUUAUGACCCCGCCCUGUCUGGAGACUCCCUAAAGCGCUCUCGCAGUUAACCCCAGCUUCAGCUAGUUGGCAGUUACAAGUAAAAUCUCUCCCAGGCCUUGGUCUCAAAGCCUCAGAUGGAAUUGGCAUUUUGCUGUGAUUUGAUUAUUUGAUUGUUAAAUUAUUGAUGGUUGCAUAAGGUAAUCCUCCCCGAAAGGUAAAAAAGCAACCCCUUCCUGCCUUUUUAAUUUAAAAAUUGUCUCAGUAGAGAUUUUUUUCUUUCAUCCUGGCUUUUGUUUGCUAAAUUAAAAUGGCAUGUGUUUUUGUUUUAGAAAGCAGGGAUUUUUUUUUUCUAUGCCCAGUGUUAAGGAGAGGAAGUAAAAUAAAUCUUUUGAAAGUGUGCCCAUCCAUUCAUGGCUUAAAAAUUCCAAGUCCCAGACUUUGUUCUCCUUUCUCUCAUUGAGUUGGAGGAAAUAAAAAUGUGUACUCAUGCAACUCACCUGUUGAUUGUUUUUUUUUUUAAGUUAUUUGUUUUAUAGUCUAAUCCCCAUUGAGCACCGAGAUGUCUAGCAAGGCUGGGUCUGUAUGGUCUGUGAGAGGUUGGUGCCUCACAGGUCCUGGGCCUGGCAGGAGUCCGGGCCAUCAGCUCAUGGGUCAACACAUGUCUGUGUGCGGCAGCUCAAACUGCCUUCAGAAAGCCAGGAGUGGUGGGAGACAUAUGCUCUACACACAGCAUUUUGUUCUGAUUUAUUUUAGGCCAUUUAAGAUGCUGUUAGCACGAAGAGUGGCGGAUCUCACUCACGUUCUGAAAACCAUUGGAGUUUCAAGCUCAAGUACUUUUUUUUUCCAAUCCAAAUUUAGGAAUUGCCUUUUAGAGUAGAAAACAGCACAGGGGCACUCCUUUUAUCCCACUUUUAAAGGAAGAUAUUUAAGCCACCCUCAUUGGAUCUGGAGACCCAUCCCUGCAGCUGGAAUCUAGAAACAGCCCACUGUAAACAAGUGAGAAACAAGAUACACUCUCACAGGGGUCAGGGUCCUGGGAUUGGAGUGUCCUUAGACAUACACUGAGCCCUGGUCUGUGCACAGAUCUUCCUUCUAAGGCUGUCAUGUUAUCAGAAGGGAGACUACCAACCCAGCUGAGACACUGUCACACUCCACAGAGUCACUAGUCAGACCCACAAGCUGCAUCAUGCCCUUUGAGUGAUAAAGGGACCCGUGUAAGUACCAUUACUUUAAGGCGAACCUAGACGGUCUUUGUUCCCUGUAGCUCUGCCCUGGCUCCAGGCGCUACUACUGACACUGUGAAAACAGCAGACAGACAAACCAAACUCUAUAGGAAAUACAACGACUCUCCGACUCUCCAAGGAAAAUGGUCUGGAAGCUGUUAGAGGGGUAUAGAAAGGCUCCUUGAAAUUUGAAGGUGCUUCACUCCUGGUAUAAACAGGAGCCUGCUCGCUUGUAGCUGUUGGGGCUACUGCAGGCCAGUGACACCAGCAGCCAGUGUUGGCGGAUCUCUUGGUUUCAGUUUCUAUUUGAGAAACAGAAGCUUUCCCUACAGGGUCAAGGGCUGGAGAUAAGGGAAUAGCUAUAAACUAACUUUUUCUUAAAAAGAGGCAAUGGGUGAUAAUCAGUAUUUGCAUUAAAUUCAUAAACAGUAGCCAUUCACACACUUCAUUCUCCAUGUGAAUUAUAUCUUUGUGAUAUAACAUAGUCCUGUGAUUCUGAACGCAUCAUGGAUACAUUGUAAACAAUUUAGAGGUUACAGAAAUGAAUGCAAGGAAAGGUGGUUUGUGGUUUCUACAAAGAGACAAGCUCUCCUCACGUUUUCCUGGGCUUCCUCCCUCUUGACUCUUGCAGUAUCUGUUUGCACGAUGCCUGUCUGCUCCGUUGUCCCCGUUUCUUUGCCAUUUGGUUCCAGAGGCACUUCUUCCUCCCAGGCGAACCCGAUCUGUCUCCUCCAAGUGGCCAGCUCUGGCCCUUAGGUAUUCAAGGAGAAGGCCUCCGGCUCCCUGAUACCAGAUUUCUUCCCUGAGGUUUUGUGAGCCCAGAUCUGGCAGCCGGACCUUAAUCAUUCCAGCAGCAGACAGCCACACUGCAAAGCUAAGGAUGUACAAAAACUCUGGGUGCAUGGGAGUAGAGCGGCCCAGAACCUUGCUAUUAAGGUGGAGAAGGGAAACUGAGGCUUUCCUUGGGGUAGGGGUAGAGGCAGGUAGGGAACAUGGCGGUCAGCACAGGGACCUGCAGUAUGGCGAUAUGAUAAACAGCAGUAUUGGUGUUUGGAUCCUGGGCAGAGUAAAACAGUUGGGCCAAAUAAAGCAGGCCUCUUGUUAGCUGUGAAGUGGCCGUCGGCUCUGUUGAGAUAGUUGCCUCUAAGGUGUCCAUUUUAUGGCCUUGACUUAAAUCUACCAAGUGGAUUGCCAAUGGGGACAAGGGGCUUGCAAGCAGGGAAACACCAGAAAGGUUAAUGUAGGGAUCCAGUCCCCAGAUGCCAUAUCAUAGUUAGGCAUGUACCUCAGCUGGCCCUACAAAUUAGAAAAAAAAAAAAGUUCCACAGAACCAGGCCUCUAGAAAGGGAGCUAACAAAUGUAUAUACAAUGUAUACAUGGAGUCAGCUAAAUU
rnacentral:lncRNA from 1 species